GAUGAACGCUGGCGGCGUGCCUAAUACAUGCAAGUCGAGCGAACGGACGAGAAGCUUGCUUCUCUGAUGUUAGCGGCGGACGGGUGAGUAACACGUGGAUAACCUACCUAUAAGACUGGGAUAACUUCGGGAAACCGGAGCUAAUACCGGAUGAUAUUUUGAACCGCAUGGUUCAAAAGUGAAAGAAGGUCUUGCUGUCACUUAUAGAUGGAUCCGCGCUGCAUUAGCUAGUUGGUAAGGUAACGGCUUACCAAGGCAACGAUGCAUAGCCGACCUGAGAGGGUGAUCGGCCACACUGGAACUGAGACACGGUCCAGACUCCUACGGGAGGCAGCAGUAGGGAAGCUUCCGCAAUGGUCGAAAGCCUGACGGAGCAACGCCGCGUGGGUGAUGAAGGUCUUCGGAUCGUAAAACUCUGUUAUUAGGGAAGAACAUAUGUGUAAGUAACUGUGCACAUCUUGACGGUACCUAAUCAGAAAGCCACGGCUAACUACGUG
rnacentral:rRNA from 1 species